rnacentral:rRNA from 1 species
GGAUCCAGACUUUGAUUAUGGCUCAUGAUGAACGCUAGCGGCAGGCUUAACACAUGCAAGUCGAGGGGCAGCGCGGGGCGGCAACGUCCUGGCGGCGACCGGCGGAAGGGUGCGUAACGCGUGAGCGACAUGCCCGUUGCCCGGGGACAACCGGUGGAAACGCCGACUAAUCCCCGAUGGGACGGAGGCCCUCAUGGGUCUCUGUUGAAAGUUACGGCGGCGACGGAUUGGCUCGCGUCCGAUUAGCUUGUUGGCGGGGUAACGGCCCACCAAGGCUACGAUCGGUAGGGGUUCUGAGAGGAAGGUCCCCCACAAUGGAACUGAGACACGGUCCAUACUCCUACGGGAGGCAGCAGUGAGGAAUAUUGGUCAAUGGGCGGAAGCCUGAACCAGCCAUGCCGCGUGCGGGAAGGAGGCCCUAUGGGCUGUGAACCGCUUUUGCCUGGGGGCAAUAAGGGCGUCGCGCACGUCCGAUGAGAGUACCAGGGGAAUAAGCAUCGGCUAACUCCGUGCCAGCAGCCGCGGUAAUACGGGGGAUGCGAGCGUUAUCCGGAUUCAUUGGGUUUAAAGGGUGCGUAGGCUGUGCGUCAAGUCAGGGGUGAAAUUCCGGGGCUCAACUCCGGGGCUGCCCUUGAUACUGUCGCGCUGGAGUGCGGAUGCCGCCGGAGGAAUGAGUGGUGUAGCGGUGAAAUGCUUAGAUAUCACUCAGAACACCGAUUGCGAAGGCAUCUGGCGAAUCCGUAACUGACGCUGAGGCACGAAAGCGUGGGGAUAGAACAGGAUUAGAUACCCUGGUAUUCCACGCCGUAAACGAUGAUGGCUAACCGCCGGCGACAUACUGUCGGUGGCCAAGCGAAAGCGAUAAGCCAUCCACCUGGGGAGUACGUCGGCAACGAUGCAACUCAAAUGAAUUGACGG